UGGGGAAUUUUGGACAAUGGGCGCAAGCCUGAUCCAGCCAUGCCGCGUGUGUGAAGAAGGCCUUCGGGUUGUAAAGCACUUUCGGCCGGAACGAAAUCGUCUCCGCUAACACCGGGGACGGAUGACGGUACCGGAAGAAGAAGCACCGGCUAACUACGUGCCAGCAGCCGCGGUAAUACGUAGGGUGCGAGCGUUAAUCGGAAUUACUGGGCGUAAAGUGUGCGCAGGUGGCCGCGCAAGUCGAGUGUGAAAGCCCCGAGCUUAACUUGGGAAUUGCGCUCGAAACUACGUGGCUUGAGUGUGGCAGAGGAAGGUGGAAUUCCAGGUGUAGCGGUGAAAUGCGUAGAGAUCUGGAGGAACACCGAUGGCGAAGGCAGCCUUCUGGGCCAACACUGACGCUCAUGCACGAAAGCGUGGGGAGCAA
rnacentral:rRNA from 1 species